UGGGGCCGAUAAGAGGAAAUGCUCAAGGAUGACUUCAUUUUGUUUAAUUCCUGGGAGCAGGAGUGGAACGUGUGCUUCACUGGUUAGGAACAGACAUGGAACUGGCACUAUUCUGCAAGGACAUUUGACCUAGCCUGACGGAAGGUCGUGGAUCCGCCAGAAUCAGGCUGGCAGAGAGCUGCAGCACUCUACUCCGGGGCAAGCAGGAAUUGAAUGUGGUCCUUUUGCUAAGAAGAAUUGCACAGAAGAACUUAUCUUCAGAAGCAGAGUGGGAAGAAGAACGGGCCUUUGGAGACAGAAUUCUGGAUUGGGGCAGAGACUCUGCCUAUUCUCUGGUUCACAAUUUUCAGGUUCAUGUCAAAACCAGCAUGGAGUUUCUGAAAGACAGAAAAGAAUACUAUAAGGAGGGAGAUCACAGGUCGGGUGACAGCUCGACAGCACAAUUCAGGAAGCACAACCGAGGAGGUGCCAUUAAGCAAAGCACCCUGUUUGUUGGAAAGAAUCACUGAAGGAUGGAGCAGGAAAGUAGGAACCAGCAGAGGCUCAGUAUCACCACUGCCCUGUGAAUAGCCUAACUUCUUUCUGCUUUUUUCCUUCACUCUCAGGUGGAAGCCCAAUGUUCAACCUAAAAGGCAUUCUCAAAAAAGGCAUUUUGUUUAGGAAAGGGGACAAUUCACUACAACAAACAUUUACUAAGGGUGCUAGUGCACUUAGAGUCAUUAAGAGGCAAAAUUAUCUAAGCCACAGACAUCAUAUGUGAGCUUAAAACCCAGGGAUCUGCUGAUUGUUACAUGUGCUCACGCAAAUAUAUGCUCAUCACAUUACACACUGUCGCUUAACUCUCUAAGACAUGAAAGAGGUUAAAAUAAAUGCAAACACUCAUUGGAGCUUUGAAAGGGAUCCGAAGUUGAUCUGCUUCUUCACCGGUUCCAACAGUGGAUCAUGGAAUAGAAGGAAUGGCAUCAAACUGUGGGAACCAAAAGCACAAAUUUUCCCAAGUGGGUCACUAAGAAUUAAUGAGAAGGUCCACUCCUAAUUGUUCUUUCUCAUUCCUCUGUGUUUUAACCCUUGAGGGAUACAGAGCCAGUAUAAUGCAGUUUGUUCAGUUAAUACUGUGUUGUGAAUGGCAGCACCCCAACCUAACAGGGUUGAUCUCUUGGUCCAAGUUGCGAGAGGCUCUUCCCAUGUUCUGUAGAUGGGCAGCUUCGUUAUGGUGUAGGGUGCAAGAAAACCAAGGGAUUGCACGUUCAUGUGGCAUUGUCACGUCUGUGACCUAAAGAGCCAUUUAAUUAUAUGCAGUAUUCACAGGAGACACGUUGCAACAUCCCCAGUGGGUAUCUGAAAACGCAGAUAAUACUGAACCCUACAUUAUUAUAGGUAUGCUAUGCUUUUCCCUGUGCACAUAUACCUCUAAAUUUCCUUUUUUUCUUUAUAAAUGUAUGAAUAGAAGAAUCAUUUGUACUGUAGAUUUUAGCAAUCUCAGCAUAUAUAUUUUUUUCUGACCUUAUUAAGUAAAGAACUUUCCCCUUUUCACUUAAAGGAAUUACUUUAUGGCCUCUCUUUGGCAUAUCUAGAUGUUAGCAUCAGUACUCUUGUGCUUUGGGGCUAUUACUAAAUAAAGGUUCCUUGAAUAAAAGCAUUGU